rnacentral:rRNA from 1 species
GCGUGAUAAUUUGUUCUUUAAUUGUGGACUGGAAUGAAUGGAUUAACGUGGGUCUGACUGUCUCUUUUUUAGAAUUGGAAAUUGAUUUUUAGGUGAAAAAGCCUGAAUUAAAAUAAAAGACAAAAAGACCCUAUAGAGCUUAAUUAAAAAUAAAAUUUUGUAAAAUUAUUUAUAGUUUUUAUAAGUUUUAAUAGAUAUUUAACUGGGGCGGUUAAGGAAAAUUUAUAAACUUCUUUGAGCUACUUAAGGUAUUGCUUUCCUAUUUUGAAAUGAUCCUUUAAAGACUAGAGGAAAAGUUACCUUAGGGAUAACAGACUAAUUUUCUUUGAUAGUUCUAAUUAACAAGAGAGUUUGGCACAUCGAUGUUGGCUUAGGAUAGCCUAAUGAUUGCAGAAGUUUUUAUGGUGGGUUUGUUCAACCUUUAAAUUCCU